GAUAAACGCUGGCGGCGUGCCUAAUACAUGCAAGUCGAGCGAACGGACGAGAAGCUUGCUUCUCUGAUGUUAGCGGCGGACGGGUGAGUAACACGUGGAUAACCUACCUAUAAGACUGGGAUAACUUCGGGAAACCGUAGCUAAUACCGGAUAAUAUUUUGAACCGCAUGGUUCAAAAGUGAAAGACGGUCUUGCUGUCACUUAUAGAUGGAUCCGCGCUGCAUUAGCUAGUUGGUAAGGUAACGGCUUACCAAGGCAACGAUGCAUAGCCGACCUGAGAGGGUGAUCGGCCACACUGGAACUGAGACACGGUCCAGACUCCUACGGGAGGCAGCAGUAGGGAAUCUUCCGCAAAGGGCGAAAGCCUGACGGAGCAACGCCGCGUGAGUGAUGAAGGUCUUCGGAUCGUAAAACUCUGUUAUUAGGGAAGAACAUAUGUGUAAGUAACUGUGCACAUCUUGACGGUACCUAAUCAGAAAGCCACGGCUAACUACGUG
rnacentral:rRNA from 1 species